rnacentral:rRNA from 1 species
UUAAGUUAUUAAGGGCGUAUGGUGGAUGCCUUGGCACUAGGAGCCGAUGAAGGACGUGACUAACUGCGAUAUGCUUCGGGGAGUUGUAAGUAAACUAUGAUCCGGAGAUUUCCGAAUGGGGAAACCUAACAGGUUUUACCGCCUGUUAUCACUAAGUGAAUUCAUAGCUUAGUUGAAGGUAGACGUGGGGAACUGAAACAUCUAAGUACCCACAGGAAGAGAAAGAAAUUCGAUUCCCUCAGUAGCGGCGAGCGAACCGGGAAGAGCCCAAACUAAGAAGCUUGCUUCUUAGGGUUGUAGGACUGAACAUCUGAGUUACCAAGAAAUGAAGUAGUUGAAUAAUCUGGGAAGAUUAGCCAAAGAGAGUGAUAGCCUCGUAAGCGAAACUUUGUUUCCUCAGUUCAGGAUCCUGAGUACGGCGGAACACGUGAAACUCCGUCGGAAUCCGGGAGGACCAUCUCCCAAGGCUAAAUACUACCUAGUGACCGAUAGUGAACCAGUACCGUGAGGGAAAGGUGAAAAGCACCCCGGGAGGGGAGUGAAAUAGUUCCUGAAACCAUAUGCCUACAAGUAGUCAGAGCUCGUUAAUGAGUGAUGGCGUGCCUUUUGUAGAAUGAACCGGCGAGUUACGUUAGCGUGCGAGGUUAAGGAGGAAAGUCCGGAGCCGUAGCGAAAGCGAGUCUGAAUAGGGCGAGAUAGUACGUUGACGUAGACCCGAAACCAGGUGACCUACCCAUGUCCAGGUUGAAGGUGCGGUAAAACGCACUGGAGGACCGAACCCGUGUAUGUUGAAAAAUGCUGGGAUGAGGUGUGGGUAGAGGUGAAAUUCCAAACGAACUUGGAGAUAGCUGGUUCUCUCCGAAAUAGCUUUAGGGCUAGCCUCGGAGUUAAGAAUCGUGGAGGUAGAGCACUGUUUGGACUAGGGGCCCGUCUUGGGUUACUGAAUUCAGAUAAACUCCGAAUGCCACAGAUUUAUAUCCGGGAGUCAGACUGCGAGUGAUAAGAUCCGUAGUCGAAAGGGAAACAGCCCAGACCACCAGCUAAGGUCCCAAAAUAAUUGUUAAGUGGAAAAGGAUGUGGGGUUGCACAGACAACUAGGAUGUUGGCUUAGAAGCAGCCACCAUUUAAAGAGUGCGUAAUAGCUCACUAGUCGAGUGACCCUGCGCCGAAAAUGUACCGGGGCUAAAUAGUUUACCGAAGCUGUGGAGUGCACCAUUAGGUGCAUUGGUAGGAGAGCGUUCUAAGGGCGUUGAAGGCAGAUCGUGAGGACUGCUGGAGCGCUUAGAAGUGAGAAUGCCGGUAUGAGUAGCGAAAGAUCAGUGAGAAUCUGGUCCACCGUAUGACUAAGGUUUCCUGGGGAAGGCUCGUCCUCCCAGGGUUAGUCGGGACCUAAGCCGAGGCCGAGAGGCGUAGGCGAUGGAUAACAGGUUGAGAUUCCUGUACUGGUUAAACUUGUUUGAACAAUGGAGGGACGCAGGAGGCUAUCGAUGCGUACUGUUGGAUAUGUACGUUCAAGCAAUAAGUCUGUAGAUGAGUCAAAUGCUUAUCUACUUAAGGACAAGUUGUGAUGAGGAGCGAAAUUUAGUAGCGAAGUGAGAGACGUCACACUGCCAAGAAAAGCUUCUAGUUAGAGUUUAAUCACCCGUACCGCAAACCGACACAGGUAGUCGAGGCGAGUAGCCUAAGGUGAGCGAGAGAACUCUCGUUAAGGAACUCGGCAAAAUGACCCCGUAACUUCGGGAGAAGGGGUGCUGAGCGCAAGCUCAGCCGCAGUGAAUAGGCCCAGGCGACUGUUUAUCAAAAACACAGGUUUCUGCAAAAUCGUAAGAUGAAGUAUAGGGGCUGACGCCUGCCCGGUGCUGGAAGGUUAAGAGGAUGGGUUAGCGUAAGCGAAGCUCAGAAUUGAAGCCCCAGUAAACGGCGGCCGUAACUAUAACGGUCCUAAGGUAGCGAAAUUCCUUGUCGGGUAAGUUCCGACCCGCACGAAAGGCGUAACGAUUUGGGCACUGUCUCAACAAUAGACUCGGUGAAAUUGUAAUCCCGGUGAAGAUGCCGGGUACCUGCGACAGGACGGAAAGACCCCAUGGAGCUUUACUGUAGCUUGACGUUGGGUCUUGGUACUACAUGUACAGGAUAGGUGGGAGACUAUGAAGCAUGGACGCCAGUCUGUGUGGAGUCAUCCUUGGGAUACCACCCUUGUAGUACUGGGAUCCUAACCAUAGGCCUUGAAUCAGGUCUUGGAACACCGUCAGGUGGGCAGUUUGACUGGGGCGGUCGCCUCCUAAAAAGUAACGGAGGCGCUCAAAGGUUUCCUCAGCACGGUCGGAAAUCGUGCGAAGAGUGUAAAGGCAAAAGGAAGCUUGAUUGCAAGACAUACAGGUCGAGCAAGGACGAAAGUCGGACUUAGUGAUCCGGUGGUACCGCAUGGAAGGGCCAUCGCUCAACGGAUAAAAGCUACCCUGGGGAUAACAGGCUUAUCUCCCCCAAGAGUCCACAUCGACGGGGAGGUUUGGCACCUCGAUGUCGGCUCA